rnacentral:rRNA from 1 species
ACUCACCAGGUCAGGACACGGUAAGGAUUGACGGACUGAAGGCUCUUUCUCGAUUCCGUGGAAAGUGGUGCAUGGCCGUUUUUGGUUGGUGGAUCGAUCCGUCUGGUUAAUUCCGUUAACGAACGAGACCUCGGCACUCCGAAUAGCGCGGCGGACGUCGCGGCCUCCGGGCCGUCUUCCGCACGAGCUUCUUAGAGGGACCGUCCCCCGCCGGGGAAGGAGGUGCGAGGCAACGACAGGUCUGUGAUGCCCUUAGAUGUUCUGGGCCGCACGCGCAUUACACUGACGCGUCCAACGGGUGACUCCCGACCCGAAGGGGCCGGGAAUCCGCAAGGCGCGUCGUGAUGGGGAUUGAACGUUGCAAUUGUUGUUCACGAACGAGGAAUUCCUAGUAGGCGCGGGUCAUCAACCCGCGCCGAUUACGUCCCUGCCCUUUGUACACACCG